CUGCUACUUCUGCGAUUUCUGUGACUUCUGCGAUUUCUGUGAUUCCUGCGAUUUCUGCGACUUACCACCGUAUGAGAAAGUUACAUCUGUCAACACAGAAAAUUGCAUCUCAACAAACCUGUCUUUGGCAAGUACCUGAACUACAUUUCAGUCACUCAGUAAAGUGAUAACUCAAAAUAUCAUUGUCAACAGAUCUGAAGAAAUUGCCACUGUGUCUUUAGACCAUUUUCGUCAGACGAGAGGCACAGUUCUGACUCUGAUUACUGGUUGCUGUACGUAUCUAUCCACAUCAAGGCUGUUUUUGAGAGAGACUCGUGAAGAUUCAAG